rnacentral:rRNA from 1 species
UUACACAUGCAAGUCGAACGGCAGCACGGGGGCAACCCUGGUGGCGAGUGGCGAACGGGUGAGUAACAUAUCGGAACGUGCCCUGGAGUGGGGGAUAACUAGUCGAAAGAUUAGCUAAUACCGCAUACGAUCUACGGAUGAAAGUGGGGGAUCGCAAGACCUCAUGCUCGUGGAGCGGCCGAUAUCUGAUUAGCUAGUUGGUGGGGUAAAGGCCUACCAAGGCAUCGAUCAGUAGCUGGUCUGAGAGGACGACCAGCCACACUGGGACUGAGACACGGCCCAGACUCCUACGGGAGGCAGCAGUGGGGAAUUUUGGACAAUGGGCGCAAGCCUGAUCCAGCAAUGCCGCGUGAGUGAAGAAGGCCUUCGGGUUGUAAAGCUCUUUUGUCAGGGAAGAAACGGUUCGGGUUAAUACCUUGGGCUAAUGACGGUACCUGAAGAAUAAGCACCGGCUAACUACGUGCCAGCAGCCGCGGUAAUACGUAGGGUGCAAGCGUUAAUCGGAAUUACUGGGCGUAAAGCGUGCGCAGGCGGUUGUGCAAGACAGAUGUGAAAUCCCCGGGCUCAACCUGGGAAUUGCAUUUGUGACUGUACGGCUAGAGUGUGUCAGAGGGGGGUAGAAUUCCACGUGUAGCAGUGAAAUGCGUAGAGAUGUGGAGGAAUACCGAUGGCGAAGGCAGCCCCCUGGGAUAACACUGACGCUCAUGCACGAAAGCGUGGGGAGCAAACAGGAUUAGAUACCCCUGGUAGUCCACGCCCUAAACGAUGUCUACUAGUUGUCGGGUCUUUAUUGACUUGGUAACGCAGC